CGUAACACGUAUACAAUCUGCCCAUAUCAGGAGAAUAGCCCGGAGAAAUUCGGAUUAAUGCUCCAUAACAUAAUGAAACGGCAUCGUUUUAUUAUUAAAGUUCCGACGGAUAUGGAUGAGUAUGCGGAUGAUUAGCUAGUUGGUAGUGUAAUGGACUACCAAGGCUACGAUCAAUAGGGGUACUGAGAGGUUAAACCCCCACACUGGUACUGAGACACGGACCAG
rnacentral:rRNA from 1 species